CACCAUACGCGUGACAGACCACAAGUUCGGAGACCACUGGUCAUGGUAACCUAUUGUAUGGGUGGGUAUAUAUUGUAUAAUAGGCAUUACGCGUAUUAUCCAUUUAUUUGUCCCCACAGAGUAAUAAAUGGGGUUGGGAUUUAAAUGUCUAGAAAAAUAAAUAUCAAAAAAUGUUCUAAAAAAAAAACCUAAAAUACCAUACGACCGCAACCGCAAUAACGCCCUUAAGAAUGACUAAAAACCGAAACAAAUAUGUAAAUUAAAAAGAUUAUCGUUGGAGUAAUUAAUAUAUCACGCUGUAUAAAUAUCCACUAUACAAUUAACU